GGCGAGAUGGCCGAGCGGUCUAAGGCGCUACGUUAAGGCAUUCCUUAAUAACAUCAUCUUUCGAGAUCCUGGUUCCGUAGUCCGAAAGGGCGUGGGUUCGAAUCCCACUCUCGUCA
rnacentral:tRNA from 1 species